rnacentral:rRNA from 1 species
CACAGAGGUGGCAAGCGUUGUUCGGAAUUACUGGGCGUAAAGGGCGCGUAGGCGGCCUUCUAAGUCGGACGUGAAAUCCCCAGGCUUAACUUGGGAACUGCGUCUGAUACUGGAUGGCUUGAAUCCGGGAGAGGGAUGCAGAAUUCCAGGUGUAGCGGUGAAAUGCGUAGAUAUCUGGAGGAAUACCGGUGGCGAAGGCGGCAUCCUGGACCGGCAUUGACGCUGAGGAGCGAAAGCCAGGGGAGCAAACGGG